rnacentral:piRNA from 1 species
UGAAAGUCUCCCCUGAGGUAAGUGU